GGUUCGGUGGUCUAGGGGUAUGAUUCUCGCUUAGGGUGCGAGAGGUCCCGGGUUCAAGUCCCGGCCGAACCC
rnacentral:tRNA from 13 species